AGAGUUUGAUCCUGGCUCAGGACCAACGCUGGCGGCGUGCUUAACACAUGCAAGUCGAACGGAGCACCCCUGAAAGAGUUUUCGGACAAUGGAAGGGAAUGCUUAGUGGCGGACUGGUGAGUAACGCGUGAGGAACCUGCCUUCCAGAGGGGGACAACAGUUGGAAACGACUGCUAAUACCGCAUGACACAUGGCCGUGGCAUCACGGACAUGUCAAAGAUUUAUCGCUGGAAGAUGGCCUCGCGUCUGAUUAGCUAGUAGGCGGGGUAAUGGCCCACCUAGCGGACGAUCAGUAGCCGGACUGAGAGGUUGACCGGCCACAUUGGGACUGAGAUACGGCCCAGACUCCUACGGGAGGCAGCAGUGGGGAAUAUUGCACAAUGGGGGAAACCCUGAUGCAGCGACGCCGCGUGGGCGAGGAAGUACCUCGGUAUGUAAAGCCCUAUCAGCAGGGAAGAAACAGGACAGUACCUGACUAAGAAGCCCCGGCUAACUACGUGCCAGCAGCCGCGGUAAUACGUAGGGGGCAAGCGUUAUCCGGAUUCACUGGGCGUAAAGGGAGCGCAGGCGGCAUGGCAAGUCUGAUGUGAAAACCCGGGGCCCAACCCCGGGAGUGCAUUGGAAACUGCCAGGCUGGAGUGUCGGAGGGGUAAGCGGAAUUCCUAGUGUAGCGGUGAAAUGCGUAGAUAUUAGGAGGAACACCAGUGGCGAAGGCGGCUUACUGGACGACUACUGACGCUGAGGCU
rnacentral:rRNA from 1 species